UGGGGAAUUUUGGACAAUGGGCGAAAGCCUGAUCCAGCAAUGCCGCGUGUGUGAAGAAGGCCUUCGGGUUGUAAAGCACUUUUGUCCGGAAAGAAAUCCUUGGCUCUAAUACAGUCGGGGGAUGACGGUACCGGAAGAAUAAGCACCGGCUAACUACGUGCCAGCAGCCGCGGUAAUACGUAGGGUGCAAGCGUUAAUCGGAAUUACUGGGCGUAAAGCGUGCGCAGGCGGUUUGCUAAGACCGAUGUGAAAUCCCCGGGCUCAACCUGGGGAACUGCAUUGGUGACUGGCAGGCUAGAGUAUGGCAGAGGGGGGUAGAAUUCCACGUGUAGCAGUGAAAUGCGUAGAGAUGUGGAGGAAUACCGAUGGCGAAGGCAGCCCCCUGGGCCAAUACUGACGCUCAUGCACGAAAGCGUGGGGAGCAAAACAGGAUUAGAUACCCUGGUAGUCCACGCCCUAAACGAUGUCAACUAGUUGUUGGGGGAUUCAUUUCCUUAGUAACGUAGCUAACGCGUGAAGUUGACCGCCUGGGGAGUACGGUCGCAAGAUUAAAACUCAAAGGAAUUGACGGGGUCAUAGCUGUUUCCU
rnacentral:rRNA from 1 species